rnacentral:rRNA from 1 species
UGCGUAGGUGGCAGAUCAAGUCUGGAGUAAAAGGUAUGGGCUCAACCCGUACUGGCUCUGGAAACUGAUCGGCUAGAGAACAGAAGAGGACGGCGGAACUCCAUGUGUAACGGUAAAAUGCGUAGAUAUAUGGAAGAACACCGGUGGCGAAGGCGGCCGUCUGGUCUGGAUUCUGACACUGAAGCACGAAAGCGUGGGAGCAAAUA